GGUGGGAGCUUGGGAAAAGGUUGUGAGGACAUAGGAAAAAAGAAUGUUGGAUUGGUGCUUUGGCUGUAAAGGAAUAACCUGGAUAUUCCACUUUGAAGUGAAACAGCCAAGUCCUCAUACCUGACCUCUUGGGAAGAAUGUGUAUGGCAAAAAAAAAGUCCAAGAGUGCCUUUGAACAAGGAGGGAAUUGCAACACAAGCCUGAUAGGAAACUCACAUG